rnacentral:tRNA from 1 species
GAGUGUAUAGCUCAGUGGUAGAGUACAUGCUUAGCAUGCACAAGGUCCUGGGUUCAAUCUCUAGUACGUCCA